rnacentral:rRNA from 1 species
GACAGAGGGUGCAAACGUGUUCGGAAUUACUGGGCAUAAAGCGCACGUAGGUGGUUCGCUAAGUCGCGUGUGAAAUCCCUCGGCUCAACCGAGGAAUUGCGGGCGAUACUGGCGAGCUAGAGAUCGGGAGGGGUGAGUGGAACUCCAGGUGGAGCGGUGAAAUGCGUAGAUAUCUGGAGGAACACCGGUGGCGAAAGCGACUCACUGGCCCGACACUGACACUGAGGUGCGAAAGCUAGGGUAGCAAACGGG